rnacentral:sRNA from 1 species
GCCGGGUGUGGUGGCGCAUGCCUGUCAUCCGGCUCAGGAGGCUGAGGCAGGAGGAUCAAAAGUUCAAAGCCAGCCUCAG